rnacentral:rRNA from 1 species
AUUGAACGCUGGCGGCAUGCUUUACACAUGCAAGUCGAACGGUAACAGGCCGCAAGGUGCUGACGAGUGGCGAACGGGUGAGUAAUGCAUCGGAACGUGCCCAGUCGUGGGGGAUAACGCAGCGAAAGCUGUGCUAAUACCGCAUACGAUCUAUGGAUGAAAGCGGGGGACCGAAAGGCCUCGCGCGAUGGGAGCGGCGGAUGUCAGAUUAGGAAGUGGGGGGGGUAAAGGCCCACCAAGCCAACGAUCUGUAGCUGGUCUGAGAGGGCGACCAGCCACACUGGGACUGAGACACGGCCCAGACUCCUACGGGAGGCAGCAGUGGGGAAUUUUGGACAAGGGGCGCAAGCCUGAUCCAGCAAUGCCGCGUGCAGGAAGAAGGCCUUCGGGUUGUAAACUGCUUUUGUACGGAACGAAACGGUCUGGGUUAAUACCCUGGGCUAAUGACGGUACCGUAAGAAUAAGCACCGGCUAACUACGUGCCAGCAGCCGCCGUAACAC